GCCCAAGGCACUGCCUUCUGGCCAGGCCUGCCCUGGGCUGGUUCCUGGGCCUGGGGCUGGGGAUACUGGGUGCUCUGUCAGGAAGCCUCAUGAGAUGGAGGAAAUUUCGGGUGCUGAGAAUGCUGCAAGAAAAACAGCUCCUGCCCUGCUGGUGGACAUCCUCUGUGGCCUAGUCAACCAGUCCUUCCAUGCCUGCUAGCUUCCUGGGUCUGCAGAGGAGCACAGCUGGGCUGCAUGAGGUGGCAGCAGUCCUGGGCCCUAGUCAAGCUAUGUAGCCUCUCUGGACCUCAGGGUCCUUCCUCAUCUGCAACAUGGGGCUGACGAGAUCUGCCUUUCUGCUUUUAAUGAGGCAUUGCACAGGGAAAACGGCUGUCUCCUGAAGUUACCCAGUGGGAUUAAGUUCUGGUUGCCCACAGUGGCAGCUUGCUGGACAACACACCCGUUAGUGGCUUCUUCCCUUCCCUCUCUCACUUCCCA